rnacentral:rRNA from 1 species
UAGCUAGUUGGUGAGGUAAAGGCUUACCAAGGCGACGAUCUGUAGCGGGUCUGAGAGGAUGAUCCGCCACACUGGAACUGAGACACGGUCCAGACUCCUACGGGAGGCAGCAGUGGGGAAUUUUGGACAAUGGGGGCAACCCUGAUCCAGCCACGCCGCGUGAGUGAAGAAGGCCUUCGGGUUGUAAAGCUCUUUCGGCCGGGAAGAAAUCGCAUGGGCCAAUACCCUGUGUGGAUGACGGUACCGGAAUAAGAAGCACCGGCUAACUACGUGCCAGCAGCCGCGGUAAUACGUAGGGUGCGAGCGUUAAUCGGAAUUACUGGGCGUAAAGCGUGCGCAGGCGGUUUUGUAAGACAGGCGUGAAAUCCCCGGGCUUAACCUGGGAACUGCGUUUGUGACUGCAAGGCUAGAGUACGGCAGAGGGGGGUGGAAUUCCACGUGUAGCAGUGAAAUGCGUAGAGAUGUGGAGGAACACCAAUGGCGAAGGCAGCCCCCUGGGUCGAUACUGACGCUCAUGCACGAAAGCGUGGGUAGCAAACAGGAUUAGAUACCCUGGUAGUCCACGCCCUAAACUAUGUCAACUAGGUGUUGGGUGGGUAAAACCAUUUAGUACCGUAGCUAACGCGUGAAGUUGACCGCCUGGGGAGUACGGCCGCAAGGUUAAAACUCAAAGGAAUUGACGGGGACCCGCACAAGCGGUGGAUGAUGUGGAUUAAUUCGAUGCAACGCGAAAAACCUUACCUACCCUUGACAUGCCAGGAACUUGCCAGAGAUGGCUUGGUGCCCGAAAGGGAGCCUGGACACAGGUGCUGCAUGGCUGUCGUCAGCUCGUGUCGUGAGAUGUUGGGUUAAGUCCCGCAACGAGCGCAACCCUUGUCGUUAAUUGCCAUCAUUUAGUUGGGCACUUUAACGAGACUGCCGGUGACAAACCGGAGGAAGGUGGGGAUGACGUCAAGUCCUCAUGGCCCUUAUGGGUAGGGCUUCACACGUCAUACAGUGGUCGGUACAAAGGGUUGCCAAGCCGCGAGGCGGAGCCAAUCCCAGAAAGCCGAUCGUAGUCCGGAUUGCAGGCUGCAACUCGCCUGCAUGAAGUCGGAAUCGCUAGUAAUCGUGGAUCAGCAUGUCACGGUGAAUACGUUCCCGGGUCUUGUACACACCGCCCGUCACACCAUGGGAGCGGGUUCCGCCAGAAGUAGGUAGCCUAACCGCAAGGGGGGCGCUUACCACGGCGGGGUUCGUGACUGGGGUGAAGUCGUAACAAGGUAGCCGUAGGGGAACCUGCGGCUG